GACGUAGGACGCGAGCGUUAUCCGGAUUUACUGGGCGUAAAGCGUCUGUAGGCGGGACAGUAAGUUGGGCGUGAAAGCUUCGGGCUUAACCCGGAGAGGACGUACAAGACUGCUGAACUAGAGGCCACCAGAGGGGCGUGGAAUUUCCGGUGUAGCGGUAAAAUGCGCAGAUAUCGGAAGGAACACCAGUGGCGAAGGCGGCGCCCUGGGGUGGGCCUGACGCUAAGAGACGAAAGCUAGGGGAGCGAACAGG
rnacentral:rRNA from 1 species